GACGAACGCUGGCGGCGUGCUUAACACAUGCAAGUCGAACGGAAAGGCCCUGCUUUUGUGGGGUGCUCGAGUGGCGAACGGGUGAGUAACACGUGAGUAACCUGCCCUUGACUCUGGGAUAACUUCAGGAAACUGGGGCUAAUACUGGAUACGAGCACCUGCUGCAUGGUCGGUGUCGGAAAGUUUCUGCGGUUGGGGAUGGACUCGCGGCUUAUCAGCUUGUUGGUGGGGUAGUGGCUUACCAAGGCUUUGACGGGUAGCCGGCCUGAGAGGGUGACCGGCCACACUGGGACUGAGAUACGGCCCAGACUCCUACGGGAGGCAGCAGUGGGGAAUAUUGCACAAUGGGCGGAAGCCUGAUGCAGCAACGCCGCGUGAGGGAUGACGGCCUUCGGGUUGUAAACCGCUUUCGCCAGGGACGAAGCGUGAGUGACGGUAACGGGUAAAGAAGCACCGGCUAACUACGUG
rnacentral:rRNA from 1 species